UACGUAGGGGGCAAGCGUUGUCCGGAAUCAUUGGGCGUAAAGCGCGCGUAGGCGGCCCUGUAAGUCCGUUGUGAAAGUCAAAGGCUCAACCUUUGAAAGCCGAUGGAUACUGCAGGGCUAGAGUCCGGAAGAGGCGACUGGAAUUCCUGGUGUAGCGGUGAAAUGCGCAGAUAUCAGGAGGAACACCGGUGGCGAAGGCGGGUCUCUGGGCAACAACUGACGCUGAGGAGCGAAAGCGUGGGGAGCGAACAGGAUUGAGA
rnacentral:rRNA from 1 species